AUUAUAUAUAAAUAUUUUUAAAUCUUUGGGGGGUGGUGUUAUUUCUGUUAACUGCAUCCUGAAGAUAGAGCUGUGCUCAUCCAUUAGAUUAUACACAAAUGCCUUUAACUUCAGUUGCUCAGUGACCGGCUGGAUACAUUUUUAAUGGUAAAAUGUCAUCUAGUCAGAAUGUUAAGAUCCCAACUACGUUUGUAUGAUAUGAUGCUGGUCAGAUCACAGAAAGUUUGCCUUUUAACUUGCCUUAUUGAAAGUCAAAAUAACAUCAGUUUUACAUCAGUGGACAAUGGUAAGAUUUAACAAUGCCCUUCUGUUUGUCACACAAAUCUGAAAUAUAUUUAUACAAAAUUCUAAAUAUAUACAGUGUAUAUUUUGCUCAUCAAAGAGGAUGAGUCUAAAAUAUUAUAUUUCUUAGAGAUGUGUGUGUGUGUGUAUAUAUAUAUAUAUAUAUGUAUAUAUAUGUGUGUGAGUGUGUAUAUAUAUAUGUAUAUAUAUAAACAUGUGUGUAUAUAAAUUUGUUAUGCCAAAGCCAGCUUUAAUUCAAUGUUAC